CAAAUACUCCCUUCGUCCGGAAAUACUUGUCAUCAAAAUGGAUAAAAGGAAAUGUAUCUAGACGUAUUUUAGUUUUAGAUACAUCUCUUUUUAUCCAUUUUGAUGACAAGUAUUUUCGAACGGAGGGAGUAGAAA
rnacentral:pre_miRNA from 1 species